rnacentral:rRNA from 1 species
CCUACGGGGGGCAGCAGUGGGGAAUAUUGGACAAUGGGGGGAACCCUGAUCCAGCCAUGCCGCGUGUGUGAAGAAGGCCCUCGGGUUGUAAAGCACUUUCAGUGAGGAAGAACGCCUGGUGGUUAAUACCCAUCAGGAAAGACAUCACUCACAGAAGAAGCACCGGCUAACUCCAUGCCAGCAGCCGCGGUAAUACGGAGGGUGCGAGCGUUAAUCGGAAUUACUGGGCGUAAAGCGCGCGUAGGUGGCUUGAUAAGCCGGUUGUGAAAGCCCCGGGCUCAACCUGGGAACGGCAUCCGGAACUGUCAAGCUAGAGUGCAGGAGAGGAAGGUAGAAUUCCCGGUGUAGCGGUGAAAUGCGUAGAGAUCGGGAGGAAUACCAGUGGCGAAGGCGGCCUUCUGGACUGACACUGACACUGAGGUGCGAAAGCGUGGGUAGCAAACAGGAUUAGAUACCCUUGUAGUC